rnacentral:pre_miRNA from 2 species
UCUUAUGUACAUGCAACAAAAGUGGUUUCUUGAGAUGGAAUCUAUUCCUGGUGAUGAUGCUGUGAA